GAUCAUCACCUAUUUGAUCUUCACAGAAGAGACUCUUUUCACUCUUUGGCAACCACUUCCGCAUGUUUUCCUGUCAAAAAAAACCUGAAGAGCACCCACACCCGACGCGGGUGGUGGUCAUUUUAUUUGUUCUGCGCCGAUGAUGGACGA
ensembl:ncRNA M03E7.7 ncRNA